rnacentral:rRNA from 1 species
CAGCCGCCACGGUAAUACGGAGGGUGCAAGCGUUAAUCGGAAUUACUGGGCGUAAAGCGCACGCAGGCGGUCUGACAAGUCAGAUGUGAAAUCCCCGGGCUUAACCUGGGAACUGCAUUUGAAACUGUCAGGCUGGAGUCUUGUAGAGGGGGGUAGAAUUCCAGGUGUAGCGGUGAAAUGCGUAGAGAUCUGGAGGAAUACCGGUGGCGAAGGCGGCCCCCUGGACAAAGACUGACGCUCAGGUGCGAAAGCGUGGGGAGCAAACAGGAUUAGAGACCCCUGUAGUCCCUGUCUCUUAUAC